CCAUUCCACCCACACUUUGUCAGUUUUCCCCCUUCUAUCUCACUCACUAUUAUCUCCCAAUUUUCGCACACUCCCUCUUCCUCGAAACCCUAGCUCUCUCCUCCUUCCUCUUCCGCUCUCUUUCCACGGCCACCACCGCCUCCCUCUCCUCCGCUCACUCCCGCUACUAUCUCUCUCUCACUAACCGCCUCCGCCCCCUCGGCGGCGCCAUCAUCUCCACUGACAAUUUCUCUCUCUACAAAUCAAACACAUUUUCAGCAAAGCAAACUCAAACAAGUGUCCUUCUCUAAUCCCCAUCCCUUCCGUCAAGCCCUAGUUCCAGCAAGCCAAGGAGAAUGCACCUCCGCCUUCAGAUCUAAUUCAUCAUCCUUUUGAUUCUCACAGACGGAGAUUCCCAAUUCAUUCACACGGAUUCUUUAAAGAAUCGAUUCACGAUGACCCCUUUUUAUCUCGAUUCAAUUUCCCCAGGUAGUGUUUGUUUGAUUUUUGGUACAUGGAAAUGAAUUAUGUUCCAUUUUGUGUGGUUUCAGUUUUAGAUUUCAAUUUUAAUUUUUUUUUUGUUUGGGGUUUCAUUUGAGGGCGAUGGCUAUGACGGUGAAGCAAAUGGCCUUUUUUGGAGGUGGAUUACCCCUCGUGAACCACCUGGCAAAAAUGUGGAGGAGUGGGGAAGUGGUUUUGAUACUUGAAGAUGACCAUGAAUUGGUUUCACUUGAUAUUGUGAGCAAACAGCUUAAAAAUUUUGGGAUUUCUACAUAUCAGGGUUGUCAUGUUGGCUCGUAUGAAGAGAGCCUACUCUUGCUUGACAGGAAGGAUGCAAUUUCUUACUGAGGGGAAAGAAGAGGUUAAGGUGAUAAGUUAUAUAACUAGCUUCGUGUUUAAAUGCAUAUGCAGCUAAGUUUAUUUGACAUGUGACUGCUGAAUUUUAGCUCAAAACAAAGUUUAGUAUUCUACAAGUGUUAAUUUUUUCUUUGUAUACAGUUGCUCUAUUUUUAGAUUUCUGGGUGUCUUGUUGUCAGCUUGCUUUCGAUAUUGUUUUGUAGAAUUUCCUGUCUUAGGUAGUUAGUUGAUUGGAUUUCUUGCUUAUGUUGUCUGAAAAUAGAACUUUGUAACUAGUUUAAUAGGAAUGAUGCAAUCCUACUCCAAUAAACAAGCUCAGAGCGAAAAUAAAAAAAAUUUAAAAAUUUGGACAAGAUGUUAAAGGUGAUACAUGGUUAUGCUGCACCUAUUAUCACUGCUUGCAGUUUCAUGUUUUAUGUAGCACCGCUUGGUAGUGCCAUGCAAAGGACUAUGGUCUCUCUGGAGCUGCUAAUGCUACUUAAGUGUACUUGAUAUAACACAUUAUUAUUUGCUGUUCUACUAAAAGUCUAGAACUAUAAAAAUGUUCAUGCAAUGGAUGCUUUAAUCAAUUUAGCUUUGCUUUAUACUACAUUCCCAUUUGGAUAGACAUCAGUAUAACAUAACCUGAUCAAAUGAGCACUAGACCAGCGGGGAUAAGGUGAUACUUUGAAAACCUGCAGCAUGAAUUAAAAUAGGACACGGUAGUGGUAUAACUUAUAGCUCUAAUUUCUGCAGUUUUAAAUUCAUUUUUAAUAUCUAGACUCUAUGUACAUGUAGUGGUUUUUUUCUUUCUUUUUCCUUUGUUAGGUUGAAGCAUCUCCAAGUUAUCUUACAGGCUUCAUGCUUUGGAAAUCUUGAGCAACUAUUCAUUCUACGUCUGUCUUCAAACCAUAAACUGCACAAGUUACCUUUACGUCAAUCUUUCAUGCCUGUGUACGAAGUGGACUCAUAGUAAGAGUAUGCUAUCAGAUGUAUGUAAGAACCAUUGAAACUUGUAUGGUUGCAUACUUGCAUCCAUCAUUAUUGGACUCUCCUCUUUCUAUGUAUGCAUAAAUAUAUGUAUGUGGAUAGUAUGCUGCUGAAUGUGAAAUUGAAAUCCUUAUGAUGGAUGUUAAUUAUAUAUUUUGUUACAUUGCUAUGAAGAACCAUUUUAGUGUGCUGCAUAUGUGGGUCAAUGUUUAUCUUUCAUGUUAUAUAUAGACGCUGCCAUAGUUGAUGGAAGAAGCAUACAUCUAAUUUGUAUAUGGUAUGGAUAUGUAGGUUGUAAAACUAAAAGCUUUCUCCAAGUUUGAGAAUAUGUCGAUACAAGCUCAAGUUCAGUGCUGAUAAGAAGUGACAGCAACAUUUCUUGUGUUGGUCGUAUUGCCAUUCAAUCAUUCUGUGUUCCACAGUGUGGUAUUCCAGCCUGGAAUGGGACAUGCUUUCCUUCCUUAGAUCUCUAAAAAGCAUACUACAAUCUUCAAUGCAGUUGUUGUGACAUUCCCGCCUAGUCUUCUUUCAUCAUCAUCCUCCUCUACAAGAUGGUAGCACAUGGCAUCCUCCCUUUAAUACUAUUACAUGCGCACUCUCGCGCUGGUCAAGAGAUUCGAUUCUGUUAAGUCAUUGCCCUCUACUUUUAACUACUUUUUGUGAUUUGAAGUUGCAAUUUAAGUGGAUAUCUGUGAAACUAGUUCUCAACUCAUUGGCACAUGUUUUUGCUAGGUUCAUUCGCAGCUACACCAAGGACUGGAAAUUCAAGUUACAAGUAUUUUUAUCUUAUAACAAACUGCUAUUUUUUUCUCCUUUUCUUUUUAUUGUAUCUACAAACAGAGCAACUUGUCUUCAUAUGGUUUAUUUAGGAGACUUUAAUCUUGUUCUUUUCUUUUGCUAUUGUGUAUGGAGAAGUUUAGGCCAUAUGUCCCCUUCUCCCUACUCUUUGUACUGUUUUCAUCAAUAAUAUUAAUGAGCAUUUUCUUUUGCUUACCA